GCGCCUGUAGCUCAGCGGAUAGAGCGCUGGUCUCCGGAACCAGAGGUCGGGCGUUCGAAUCGCCCCAGGCGCGCCA
rnacentral:tRNA from 1 species